GCUGAAAGAGAGAGACAGAUAGAGAAAGAGAUGGAAAUUAUAAUAUCUCAUGCUCUAAUGAAGAGUAAUCAGAGAGGGGGAAGCAUAAUACUUCAUUACCAUGUCUGUAGAGGAAUGGAAGAGCAUAUUAUGCAAAUAAGAAAUACAAGGCAUUCCUUGAACCAUAGUCAUCCUUGAGAGAAGUGGAAUGUGUCUCAAGUUCUGUUUUAUGAAGAUAUCAACAUUUUUGAAAAAUAUGGAGACGAAAAAUAGCAACAUAAAAAUAAAUCUCA
rnacentral:lncRNA from 1 species